rnacentral:misc_RNA from 1 species
GAUGAAGAACGCAGCGAAAUGCGAUAAGUAAUGUGAAUUGCAGAAUUCAGUGAAUCAUCGAAUCUUUGAACGCACCUUGCGCUCCUUGGUAUUCCGAGGAGCAUGCCUGUUUGAGUGUCAUUAAUAUUAUCAACCUUUUUGGUUGGAUGUGGGUUUGCUGGACUCCUCGAGAUCAGCUCUCCUUAAAUGCAUUAGCGGACAACAUUUUGCCAACCGUUUAUUGGUGUGAUAAUUAUCUACGCUAUUGACGUGAAGCAAGGUUCAGCUUCUAACAGUCCAUUGACUUGGACAAGUCUCUUUUUAUUAAUGUGACCUCAAAUCAGGUAGGACUACCCGCUGAACUUAAGCAUAUCAAUAAGCGGAGGA